UUUAAAAAAUCCACACACACACACACACACAAGAACAAGUCCGUGAACCCAAAAAGGAUUGACACGUAUAUCAGCUCUGUUUGUGGGAAACGGAAGGAAAAAAAAAAUCCUUUCUCUCUCUUAGAAAGUUUUAUUGCUCCGAGCGGCAACUUUCCAGUUUCUGCCCUCCUAUAUUGAUCCUGAUGCGUGUUGACGCGCAGCUGUCAGGUCCUCUCUCCUCCAAUCAGCUGGCCCUCUCACUCUGUCGUACGAUGCUCUGAUCACGGUGGCUUGUUUUCAUCGUUUCCCAGCUCCAUCCAGCGGCUCUGUGCUUCUCUCCGCGGGUGAAGAAGCAGCAGAGGCAUCCUGGGAAACAACAACAAUAAUAAUGAUAAUUAUUAUUAUUAUUAUUAUAAUGGACUGCGCACCGCCAGGCUGUCCUACAUCCCGUCCCUGAUCGAUGCUCUUGCCUGCGAGGCUCGGCGCGGACGUUGCAAGGAGGAGCGGCUUUGUCGGAGGACCGAUGGGGCCGCGCAGCCUCCCUCUCUCCUCUAAAUAAACGGCGUCACAUGCCGCUGGGAAGCGCUUUAUCGCUUCAGAUGAGAGGAGUUUCGGUGAAUGUCGCAUCCCGCAGGAUUUGGAGCAGCGCCGGAGAGCAGCAUGCCCGCAUCACAGGACGUUUUAUAACGCGUCUGUGUCAUUUUCUCUCGAGUCAACCUGGUUAGCCUCACUUUGAAGACUCCUGCAGCCAUGGCUGAGGAAAGCCGCCUCUCUCAUCAGAUCCAGAGCGUGGAGAGGAGCGUGGUGUUCCUCAGGCAGGAGCACCUCACUCUGCUCCACGGCCUCCACCUGGAGAUCCUCUCCCUGCAGAAACGCUGCUCAGGAAUAUUUCUGUACGUUCAGACAUAUCUGAGGAUUAGAUGAGCCAGCCAUCGACCCCCCAAUGCCGAGCUGAAGUGUGUGACAGAUUCGCUGGCUGAGCAGAUGUCUGAUGCCGACACGCUGAUUGACGGGCCAGACACAAGCAGCGAUCCUCCUACGCCUUUUCACUUCAAGCUGUCUUUGGCUCAAUUAAUAAAUGAGCAUCGUAAACAGAGUAGUCGGGCGCUUGAAAAAAAUAUAGUAAGUACGACCAUUAUAAUGAAAAGGUGUUUGCACCCC